ACUCAAAUGAAUUGACGGGGACCCGCACAAGCGGUGGAGCAUGUGGUUUAAUUCGAAGCAACGCGAAGAACCUUACCAGGUCUUGACAUCCCAUUGAUCGGAACUUAACCGUUCCUUCCCUUCGGGGCAAUGGAGACAGGUGGUGCAUGGUUGUCGUCAGCUCGUGUCGUGAGAUGUUGGGUUAAGUCCCGCAACGAGCGCAACCCUUAUCUUUAGUAGCCAGCACGUUAAGGUGGGAACUCUAGAGAGACUGCCGGGGAUAACUCGGAGGAAGGUGGGGAUGACGUCAAAUCAUCAUGCCCCUUAUGAUCUGGGCUACACACGUGCUACAAUGGCGGUAACAAAGGGAAGCGAAAGAGUGAUCUGGAGCAAACCCCAGAAAAGCCGUCCCAGUUCGGAUUGUAGUCUGCAACUCGACUACAUGAAGUUGGAAUCGCUAGUAAUCGCGAAUCAGAAUGUCGCGGUGAAUACGUUCCCGGGUCUUGUACACACCGCCCGU
rnacentral:rRNA from 1 species